CAUCCUCCAAGGCUAAAUACUCCUGACUGACCGAUAGUGAACCAGUACCGUGAGGGAAAGGCGAAAAGAACCCCGGCGAGGGGAGUGAAAAAGAACCUGAAACCGUGUACGUACAAGCAGUGGGAGCCCCACCACUAAGCCAGUGGUGAACUCUACAUACGCAUCCUUUGCUGAGGAUACGGUUAACGGAGCGAAAGCGACGUUCAACCGCAAAAGAAGCAGAGGGGGCUUAGUGGUGGGGUGACUGCGUACCUUUUGUAUAAUGGGUCAGCGACUUAUAUUCUGUAGCAAGGUUAACCGAAUAGGGGAGCCGGAGGGAAACCGAGUCUUAAUUGGGCGUUAAGUUGCAGGGUAUAGACCCGAAACCCGGUGAUCUAGCCAUGGGCAGGUUGAAGGUUGGGUAACACUAACUGGAGGACCGAACCGACUAAUGUUGAAAAAUUAGCGGAUGACCUGUGGCU
rnacentral:rRNA from 1 species